rnacentral:rRNA from 1 species
CUACGGGAGGCUGCAGUGGGGAAUAUUGCACAAUGGGCGCAAGCCUGAUGCAGCCAUGCCGCGUGUAUGAAGAAGGCCUUCGGGUUGUAAAGUACUUUCAGCGGGGAGGAAGGGAGUAAAGUUAAUACCUUUGCUCAUUGACGUUACCCGCAGAAGAAGCACCGGCUAACUCCGUGCCAGCAGCCGCGGUAAUACGGAGGGUGCAAGCGUUAAUCGGAAUUACUGGGCGUAAAGCGCACGCAGGCGGUUUGGUAAGUCAGAUGUGAAAUCCCCGGGCUCAACCUGGGAACUGCAUCUGAUACUGUCAGGCUUGAGUCUCGUAGAGGGGGGUAGAAUUCCAGGUGUAGCGGUGAAAUGCGUAGAGAUCUGGAGGAAUACCGGUGGCGAAGGCGGCCCCCUGGACGAAGACUGACGCUCAGGUGCGAAAGCGUGGGGAGCAAACAGGAUUAGAUACCCCUUAGUC